rnacentral:tRNA from 1 species
CGCGGGGUAGAGCAGUUCGGUAGCUCGUCGGGCUCAUAACCCGGAGGUCGGAGGUUCAAAUCCUCCCCCCGCUA